rnacentral:sRNA from 1 species
AUCGCGCUUGUGUCAACCGGGCGCGACAGGGAUGGUGAACGCAGCGAUUUUUCCGGUUUCUCGCUGCGGGCAACGAAAUGCCAGGCGAGCACCCGACCUGUCCAAGCU